AGAAGUCAUUUUGAUCAUACUGAGGUAUAACAUUUUCAGGUUUGUCGUUCACAAGUCCGUUCAUCCAAGCUUCAGUGUGUGAACGGUGGGAGGACACCUUGACGCUACUGUCUUCAUGUUUCACAAAAACAUAGUAUGGUAUGAUUCAAAUUUCAAAAGUUUUCAUAUCAUAGUAAAGUAUGUUUAAAGAAAUGUCAUAGAAUAGUAUGUUAAAAAAUAUCAUGAUAUAGUAUGAUAACAAUUUCAAAUUUUAAUGUAACAAAGAUAGUAAUGUAUGGUAAAAAUAAAAAAUUUUGAAUGAAAAAAAUGUCAUGAUAUAGUGUGUUAAAAAAUAUGUCAGUAUAGAAGGAAAAAAUUGAAAUUUUAGUACGUUAAAACUAUCAGAGUAUAGUAUGAUACAAAUUUAAAAUUUUAGUAUGAUAAAAAUGUCAUAGUUUAGUAUGAUAAAAUGUCAAUGUAUACUAUGAUAAAAUUGUCCAAGUAUAAUAUGUUAAAAAUUGUCAUAGAGUAGUAUGAUAAAAUUUUCAAACUUUUCUAAGGAAAAAUGUCAUAGUAUAGUAUGAUAAAUGUUAAAAGUUUAAUUAUGAAAAAAAAGUUAACACAGAGUUGUUUGUUGAUAAAAUGUCAUUGUAUAGUAUGAUAAAAAAUUUUAAUUUUAGUAUGAAAAAAUAUCCUAGUAUAGUACAUUAAAAAUGUCAUGGUAUAGUAUGUAAAAUAAUGUCAUGGUAUAGUAUGUUAAAAAAAAGAAUGGAAAAGUAUGUUAGAAAACUGUUAUAGUAUGGUAUGACAAAAUUUUAAAUUUUAAUAUGAGAAAAAUAUAUUAUGGUACAUUAUAAAUGUCAUAGUAUAGUUUGAUUAAAAAUGUCGUAGUAUAGUAUGUAAAAAAAGAAUGAGAAGUAUGUUAGAAAAAUAUCAUGGUACAGCAUGAGAAAAAUUUGUCAUGUUUUGUCAUUUUAAAAAAUGUCAUAGUAAAGUAUGAUAAAUGUUUAAAGUUUUAGUAUGAAAAAAAUCUCACAGUGUAGUUUGUUAAUAAAAUGUCAUCGAAUCGUAUGAUAAAAAUUUCAUAUUUUAUAUAUAUCAUAGUGUAGUACAUUAAAAAAAAUGUCAUAGUAUAGUAUGUAAAAUAUGUCAUGGAAUAGUAUGUUAAAAAAUGUAAUUGAAUAGAAUGUUUAAAAAAUGGCAUUGUAUAGUAUGUUUUAAAGGUGUCAUACUAUAGUAUGUUAAAAAUGUCAUAGUAUAGUAUGUUAAAAAAUGUCAUUGUAUAGUAUGUUUUAAAAAUGUCAUAGUAUAGUAUGUUAAAAAAUGUCAUGGUAUAGUAUGUUAAAAAAAUGUCAUUGUAUAGUAUGUUUUAAAAAUGUCAUAGUAUAGUAUGUUAAAAAAUGUCAUGGUAUAGUAUGUUAAAAAAAGAAUGGAAAAGUAUGUUAGAAAACUGUUAUAGUAUAUUAUGACAAAAUUUCAAAUUUUAGAAUAAAAAACAUGUCAUAGUAGAGUACUGUAUAGUAUGAUAAAAAUUUAAAUUUUAGUACAAAAAAUGUCAUAGAAUAGUAUGACAAUAAUUUCAAAUUUUAGUAUGAAAAUAUUUUUUAGUAUAAAGUUUCAGUAUGAAAAAAAUGUCACAGUCUUGUUUGUUAAAUUUUAGUAUGAAACUUUAAAUUUCCGUAAGAAAAAAUAUCAUAGUAUAGUACCAAAAAAAUGUCAUAGCAUAGUAUGUAAAAAAUGAAUGGAAAAUAUGUUAGAAUUUGUCAUGGUAUAGUAUGACAAAAAAUUUUGUCAUGUAUUGUAUGUUAAAAAAUGUCAUACAGUAGUAUGAUAAAUGUUUUGAAAAUGUAUGAAAAAGUUUAAGUAUAAAAAAAAUCUCACAGUGUGUUUGUUAAUAAAAUGUCAUCCUAUGGUAUGAUAAAACUUUCUAAUUUAACUAUGAAAAUAUUUUAUAGUAUAGUACAUUAAAAAUGUCAUCGUAUAGUAUGUAAAAAAUGUCAUAGUAUAGUAUGUUAAAAAAUGUCAUGGUAUAGUAUGUUAAAAAAUGUCAUUGUAUAGUAUGUUAAAAAAAUGGAAAAGUAUGUUAGAAAACUGUUAUAGUAUAGUAUGACAAAAUUUUAAAUUUUAAUAUGAAAAAAUGUCAUAGUAUGGUACAUUAAAAAAUUUGAUAGUAUAGUAUGUUUUUAAAAUGUCAUAGUAUAGUAUGUUAAAAAAAAGAAUGGAAAAGUAUGGUAGAAAACUGUUAUAGUAUAGAAAGACAUUUUAAAUUUUAAUAUGAAAAAAUGUCAUAGUAUGAUCUAAAAAUAAAAAUUUUAAUUUUAAAACAAAAAAUGUUAUAGUAUAGUAUGAAAAAAAUGUGUGGAAAAAAAGGUUAUAGUAUUCAUAUUCAAAUUUAGGUAUAAAAAACGUCAUAGUAUAGUAUGAUAAAAACUUUAAACUUUAGCAUGAAAAAAAAGUAUGGCACGGGGUAUGUUAAAAAAGUCAUAUUAUAGUAUGAUAAAAAAAUUCUAAUUUUAGUAUGAAAAAAAUAUCAUAGUAUAGUAUGAUAAAAAUUUCAAAUUUAAAAAAAAAAGUAGUGAGGAUUUUAGAAUAACGUGUCUGACCAGAUCGCCAUCUUGCUACGAUCCUGUUUUUGCUUUGAAUUUGUAUAAUGACAGAAGGCGAAAGCUUAUAUAGGCUAAUUAUUCUUCUUGAGUAUUGCUUUACGAAGCUUUGAGAGCAACUGUAGACUCAAGGUUUUGUUGCGAUGAGUCAAAGGAUACAGGAAGAAGAGUAAGACCAUCUGAAACCGCCACGUUUCUGUUUUUUUACUGAAUGCUUUGUCCCCCACUCUGUCAAUGAAAGGUUAUCAGAUAGGCUUGCAACUUUUUUUUUCUCUGAGCCAACAAAACAGCCUGGAAAGGAUGAUGAUGGGUGCAGCACUUGCCAACAAUGAAUCUGUGACUGGGCUCUCUGGCGCCGGGAGGUGCAGGACUCCUCAGGUCCUAGAGAAGCUUGUCUCCCUCUUGUCUGUAAACUGAGCUUAGAAGGGGGGGUUGGAGGAGGGGAUGUUUGUUCCCCAGUAUGAUCUCCCAGCUGGCUUGUUCUGGCAGCAGGUGCAGAGCUGCAGCAGGCUAACAUCUGGGCAGAGCCUCUGGCAGUCUUCUCCAUAUUUAGCCUCUUACUUUGGGUAUGGGGAUUAGGACCUCUGCCCCCAAAAGGAGACUGAAGCGGAAGUUAUCCAGCAGGACUGUGUGGAAUGGCAUGAUAGGAAUCAUUUCCUGCUAAGGCGGGAUUGGCUUCACUUUCAACAGUCGUUUUAUUGAGUCCACAUAGCUGCUUUCCUGAGACUGGAUCUGACCACAUCAUGCAAAUUGGUUGUAUAAAGCUUUAAAGACAUGAAAGACUGUUACAUAACCAUGUCGUGAAUGAGGCCACAGUUCUGCCCACGCAACUAUUUAUUCUGUGGACUAAGACAAUUGAUGAAAGCUUCUACCCCUCUCAGUAAAAACCUUAUUUAAUCUAUAACAGCGACUUGUAAUUGAUCUUGUGCAACUUGGCAAAUUGUUUCCAUUGAAUUCAUAGAGAUGGGCUUGGAGGAAUGCUGCUGCUGUCCUAAAUAAAGACAAAUCAAAAGCAGUACAAAAAACUUACAUUUGCACGUAUCUGCUGGUUCUGGAUCCCAUAGUCUUGCACUCCAAGAAUCUGGUUUACAGGAAAAAAAAAAAAAUCUCAGAGAAUAAGCUGGUUGGCCUUUCAGUUGCCCCCAAGUGACAGAUGAUUCUCAUUUAUUUUAUUGGUCCUCCAAAUCCUAUCCUGACCCUGUCCAUGUAGCCUCACGGUUUCUAUGAAUGCAGGCUGUGUAGCAGUUUCCAGUCCUUGGGUGCCUCCGUAGUGUGGGAGCUGAGUCACCGCUAUUUGGGGCCCUUUUGCUUUUAAUCCCCGUGAUCCCUCAUUGAGCACCUGUUCUGAAAUUCAUCGCAGUAACUCCAAAUGCAGAUUUCACCGGCUCGACUUACAUUUUCAAGUCCCACCUCAGGGGUCAAGAGGAUGUCAGCUGUUAUGUUAUGUAGGUCUUGCUGGGGUUGCAGAUGGUUGUAUCUGGACAAUAGGCAUAAAUACAUCUUUGACUGAAAGCUUAAAAGGGUUUACAUCAGGAAGUCUGUCAUUGGCCCACUUAGCCUUGUUUGUCGAAAGCCCUGAUGUUUUUCACUCAAGACCCACAGUCCUUGAACCCCGAGACCAUGUGAAAUGUGCUGGGCUGUGAGGUCACUGUGGGAAGUCAUCUAACCCAGAAAACCCGGCAUCUGCCAGACAUUUUUGCACCAGGAGACAACCCCAAAAAAUGUCAGUGUUUCAAAUCGGUUUGGAUGAGGAUAUUUUAGAGAGGAAUCAUAUUCAUUGGUCAUGGGCGUUCGGGCAGUUUUUCGAACACAUGUGGCGAGGCUGAGGCUGCCAGAGAUGUCCUUAUUUUUGGUAUGUCGAGGGGCUUGUGCAGUUUAGCUUCAGAGAUUAGAAACCCCCAAUUCUGAGAAAAGUCUUUGCACAAAUAAAGGCACCACAUUUUUCUCAGAUUCUGGGAUAUAAAUAUCUCCUCUAGAAGAAAUGUGAACAGCAAAUCUAUUUAUCACACAACAGAUUAUUGACUCAAGACAAACACGGCUAAUACUGAGAACCCUUAAGUCUCUCAGUCACGGGCAGAUUAUUCUAAUCUUUUUGUGAUAAUUAAGAAUUUUAUCUAUUGUUUCACUUUUUGUGAGCACAAAUAAAGAGACAGUAAAUCAUUGUAACAAAAAUGUCCUAAAAAGGCAAAGCAGUGUAGAUGACAUGUCGUGUUUUGGUGUUUUACAGAAUUCCUGGUUGUAGCAUGAGCUCAGAGGUUUGGGCAAUCGGUCUCUACACCUGAUCUUAUCAGAGACCCACCAGUAUAAAGAGCUGUAAGUAUGAAUGCAGGUACUUGUCUUAUCUCCUGCUCUGACGUCUUUGAACUCAACAUGAACUGUCACCAGAAGAGCAAAUAAAGAUGCUUUUAGAGAAAGUGAAAACUAAAGACAGUCUUUGUGUCAGCAGGCUGGCAGACUCCAGACAGACGAGCAC